GUUUUUUUUUUUUUUUUUGCUUAGGAAAAAUGAAGCUUUGAAAAGAUGAAGGUUUUUAAAUGUAUGUAACUUUCUGUACUGCUUCUGGUCUUUUGGUUAUCGUUUUUGUUAAAUAUUUUACAGUGACCUGUGAUUCUGUUUUGAACCCUUUGACAUCUUUGACAGCCUUCUCUAGGAUCAAGUUCUAAAUUAGGUGUUUUUGACUUAAAAUUACCUUUGGAGUUUUCCACUCGGGCCUCUGGAAAGCCUCAGAGUAUGUGUAUGCCAUCUGGUAGAGAAGUUAGCUAAUUAGGCUUGUUUGAUGUAUUAAAUUGUAUGAAAAGCAUUGUCUAAUGAUGUAAUACUAGACACAGUUACAUUUACGAGUAUGUUAUUGAUAUGAGUGUUCCAAAAUUGUAUAAUGCCGUUAGAAAUCUAUCAUCAGUCAUAAUUCUGAUUAUGCUGUUUGCCACAAAAAUAACCAAAACUACUUGUCUAUUUUUGGUUAUGGUAAACUCUCAUCAGAUUUUUAAUCAUGGUUAUUCUAAGUUUUUGUCAUUCCCAGUUAUUGCUUUUUCUCUAAAAGUAUUUGCAAUCAGAUUCAUGAAAAAGAUGCUAGCACAUUUUAAAUACAGGUUACUAAUAACUUUAAUGCCAAUGGACUAAAUAUUUUUUCAGAACUUGAAUGGAUCCAUGUAACUACUAGUUAAGAUCAACCACAACAAAAAAGUUACAUGAGACUGAGUAACUGAAGAUGUUUGUAACUUUUAUGUGAAGCAUUAUUGGUUUUUUACUUAAAUGUUUUGUUUUUCAUAUUAAAGGAAAUUAUCUCAUGCUAUCUAUAGUUUACAGCAAUUUGGAAUACUUUUGUGAACAAAGGUGGAAAUAUUUGCUUUUCCUUUCUUCUUGAUUCCUCCAAUUUGGAAACUGAGUAUUCAUUUGUUUUUGUUUUUGAGACAGAGUCUUGCUCUGUUGUCCUGGCUGGAGGGCAAUGGCACGAUGUUGGCUCAAUGCAACUUCUGCCUCCAGGGUUCAAGCAAUUCUCCUGCCUCAGCCUCCCAAGUAGCUGGGACUACAGGCAUGCACCACCACGCCCAGCUAAUUUUUGUAUUUUUUAGUAGAUACGGUGGCUGGGCGGGGAGGUUUCACCAUGUUGGCCAGGCUGGUUUCAAACUCCUGACCUCAGGUGAUCCACCCAUCUUGGCCUCCCAAAGGGCUGGGAUUACAGGCAUGAGCCACUGUGCCCAGCCUAUUUGUGAGUAUUCUUAAGGCAAUAUGAUUUGCUUAAGUUAAAUAAAAAUCUGCUCUCAUUAUAACAGGAUACAACUGGAAACACUGGUUGUAUUACCAAGACUUUGACUGAAAUGUCAUAUUUGAUAAUCUGUAGAAUGCCUGGCUUCAAUGUUCUCAGCAUUACACUGAAUUAAAAACUGUCAUCUCCUGGCAGGCCCAGGAACCUUAAAACUAUAGGUAAAAUCUAAGUCUACCUUGAUUUAGCUUCCUAGCCUCAAGGAGGUUUUUAAAUCUGAGAUUACUGUGACCAUACUACUAUUCUUGCAGACAAAAUCUGAUAAAUUUUACAAAUCUGUUUUAUUCUGAGUAUCUUCGGUAAAAAUCUGGAUAACUUUAUGUUUCUGAAGGAAGCUAUAUGUACCUGUUAUUAGAUCGCAGCUCUGUACUCUGUUUUGAAACUCCUGUUAUCCACCUGCAGACCGGAUUUGCUCCUGAACUCUCCUAAUUUCCUUCAACAUUUGGCUAUAACUCUCUAAGAAAAAAAAAACAAACAAACAAUUCCCAUGCUCUGAGGCCUAUAAGCUAAGAUGUGAUGAAUUUUUAAAGGAGCAAGUCUCAUGGUGAUGUAUGGGUCACACAAAAGUUCACCACACCAACCAAUGCCACAGCUAGAGACAUUCAAACUGCAAACCAGGACAAAAAGUUGAUCAUUUCAGGCUGUAGACAUUUUCCCCAAGACAUCAGAGCAAGAAUCGUAUUAUAAUUUGAUUUAUUCAAUUGGUUGCCUUUAAGCCUAGAUUCAGGGCUCAAAACCAUUAUGCAAACUGGGAUUGUUACAUUACUAUUAAUUUUACUUUGUAUACUUCCUUUUUAAACUUUUUAUCUGUUAUUUGUCAAAUUUUUUUGCAGAAGUAGUACAAUUCCUAACAAAUAAUGCUAGAGCCCAGCACUCUGAGGGGACAACGAGGGACUAAGGAAAAAAAUUUAAAAACUUAAUAAUAGACUCCAGGUGGACUUAGCCUGAGUGCCACUCCCUUCAAGCCUCCCUGCACUCAAAGGUGGCUAAAAGGGUUUUAACACUGACUUUUAGUUGCCAAUCACUCCUGCCAAUGCAGGAUGCAGGACCAGACCAAUAAUCUGGGAAAGGUCUAUUCUGUCACCAAGGGACAACCAAAGCCUAACUACAAGAUGACUGAUCAUAGAUACUUUUGGAAAAAUAUAUUGAUCAAGAGAGGGAAAGGUGAAAGCUAUUAGAAUCAAGACGGAGUCAUGUUUCCAAAAGCCCUGACAAAUGGAGCCAGGGAAGUCCAUGAAGAGAGGGUUCUUACACACUACCUCAAAGACCCAGAAGAAACCACGCCAGCUUGCACGAACACUAUUCCCAACCUUACACAGAAAAUACUUUUGCGACACCUGCCUAGCUCAUUGUCCAACCCCGAACUGGCAGCAUCCUUGUUAUUAAUCCUUGUAGCCAAGAACUAUUAUUUCAAGAGAAUUAUAUAAUCUUUAUCUGUCCUUUAAAAACCUGUCUUACUUUACCUUCCCGAAUACACACAGUUUACUACAGCAUGCAUAUUGACUUCACAAUGCCCUAUUCCCAAAUUAACAUCAUUUUCUUUUAGAAAGCCUCUGUUACUUAGGUUGACAGUUAUUACACCUGAAGACUAAAUGCUAACUGAUCAAUAAAAUUCUUUGGUUCUACUGUAUACUUUUAUUUGGGGACAUCUGUUCCAAACACACUAAUUACAGUACACUCACUUUUUAAUAUAGACAGUAUACAUUUUUUAAAAUCACACAAAAAGUAUGUCUAAAAUUUUUAUAUUUAAUUUCAAACACCAAACUUAAAUAGACCAAUAACACAGAUCUUCCGUGGUCCACAAAUCAUGGUAAAAAACUUUGUUUUCAUAUGCCCAUUAUGGCUUGCUGACUGGCUUACUGCAUUUUAGAUUUUCCUUAUGAUUUUAGUAGCUUUCUCUAAUGGAAUGUGCUGAGUGAAGCUUCAAACAUUUUCCAUUGAACAUACACAGAUAUCCAAAUAAAGACUGGAAAAAAUAUACACCAAACAGUCAUUUUCUCUGGUUGUUGGAAUCUGGGUGAUUUUUUAAAGUCCCAUCCACUGUGCUGCCAGUAAAAGACCACAAAAUAUUUUUGUGUAUUUACAGGAACGUGAUAAUCAAAAGUUGUUGUGGGACCAUUCAAGAUGAGUGCAGGGAAGGGAAGCCCAUUUAAACAUAUAUUCAAGGAAAAAUAAAUUAAGUUACCUGAACAUUUGGGUAGAAAUACUGAGCACUGCUAUGGUCUGUCUCCCAAACUGUCCCUCAAAUGCAUCAUGAGAUUUUAUCUUCAUUGUGGUGGUGGUUGAGAGCUGGGGCCUAGUGGGAGAUGUUUGGUUCACGGAGGCAGAUACCUCAUGAAUGGCUUGGUGCUGCUCUUGCAAUGAGUUCUCACUCUCUCAAGACUAGAUUAGUCCCCAUGAGUGGGCUGUUAAAAAGAGACUUGUUUGGUUGUUGUUAAAAAGUGGGUCGUUUGCACUUCUGCUUCCCCUUUGCCCUUCUCCAUCAAGCUAUGAACCAGCAGCAAAGCCCUUGCCAGAAGCCAGGGUCAUGCCCUUGAACUUCCCAGCCUGUAGAACUGUGAGCUUUUUUCAUAAGUGAUCCUGCCUCAGAUAUCCUGUUAUAGUAACAUAAAACAGACUAAGGCACACAAAAGCUGAGGACUGAUGUCAACUCCACUUUUAAGGGCUACCAAACACAGCCACAUCACCAAAGAGAAGCUCACUUCCUGACCUCCUUAGAAGCUGAAACUUGACUCUCCGGGCAAGAUAACUGUUGUCUUUUAAAAAUGUCAGCAUCAAAGUUAAAACAUACCUUGAUCAGUCAACCAAAUUACUGCUAAACCAGUACUGGGAAGCUUCCUAAAGCACUCCAAGCUUCUAACAACAGCCAGCAUGAAGUAAAGCAGAUAGCAUCUUUGCAUUUAAGAAGUCAAAGAAAGGUUUUGGAAAUGGCAUUAAUGUAAAUGUUCACAUUAAGAGAAAAAGGUUUCCCUGAAUUGAAUGAUUCUUUCUACUUUCUAGUGCUGGACAGGAUAGGCUCAGACUUAGAGUGUUAACUUCCAGUCAUGUGAUAAUGGCCAGGAGCAACCACAAUGCUUAACCUUUAGAUAGAAAACACAUUCCUUUGCUUUUGUCUUCCUUAUGUAUGUUAGAUUAGGCUUCUAUUCAAUCCUCUAUGAGUUAAAACAUUUAGAACCAAAUAGGCCAUUCUAUUGAGACCCAGCUUGAGCACUCUUCAGCUUCUCCACAUUUUCCAUUAUUUGCUGGCAAACUAGUACAGUAACCUGUUAAAUACAAAGCAAGGGUGUGGUAGAUUGACUGCAUUUAAGGCUCCAAUUCUUCACCCCUCCUGUGUUCUCUCCCUUGGUCUAAUAACUCUGUAGUGCCUUCUCACACUGGGUUUAGCCAUGUGGCUUGUUUCUGGUGAAUGCUGGUUAGCAUGAAGCAUGCAGACGUGAAAGGGAAUUAUGGGAUUGGGUUUGGUUGUUACUGCCUUCUACAACCUCCACAAAAACAUGCUUGUUUAAUGGAGGAUAGGAGGCACAUGGAAAAAUGCCAAGUCUUUCCAGUUGAGGCCAAUUCCCUCACGAACGAGGAAAGACUACAACUGUUCCAGAGACACCUAACCAAAAUCACUUAUCUAAUUCAUAAACUCUUUAUUGCUGCACACCACUGGGUUUUUGUGGUUGCUACAAGUUACUUUUGUGGCAACAAUUGCUCCAGUAUGUUUUAUGUGACAUUUAUGAAUUUGACAUCUUACUUGCAAACUUUCUUAGAGAAAGAUUUGUUAAUUAGCAGAGUAACCUUCACCUGGUAUUCUGUAGACUGUGCAGAUUCAGUAAUCCGAUAUUGAGUACCCACUUUGAGCUGAAUGAUCUCUCAAGUGCUCUCACUUAAUUAUCAUAACUACCCUGAAAACUAACUUCAUUUUAGGAAACUGGAGGAAAUGAAGAACUUUAAGGCAGACUGAUGAAAAGAUUUAUCUAAAGUCACAUAAAUUGGCACAGUCAGGGUCCAAACCCCAGGCCUCUGAUUCUGAGUCAAAUUGCAUUUUCCAUUACAUCGGAAAUGACCAAGGAUUAAAAUUAGCAGAAUGUUAUUCUGUCCAGCCAUUAAAAUCCAAAAAACUUUUGUUCUAAGUAGGCAAUUGAGUUUUCAUUCCAUUAUCCAAGAUAACUGACUGUAUAGGACUGUUUGCUUCAAGCGUUCCAUCCUUAGUAUUCUUGUUAAAAAUGGCCUUUAAGAUAUUGCUAUUCCCAGUCAAGAAAUACCCAGACAACUAAAAAGACUCAAGUCAUGUAAAUCAUCCAUUUCCCAGUUUAAUCUUGAAGUGAAAUUUAUGUUCAAUAUCCCUCUCCAGCCAGUCACUAUGUAAAUUUUGAAUUAAGACAUUACUUUGUGGCAAUAUUGGUUAGAAAAAAAGCACAUCCGCCUUUACAAUGGUCACAUAACAAAUGCGGAAAGAGUGGCUAUAAAAAAAUAACGCACCCACCUUCAAUCAAACGCAAUCUUUUAAAGAAUACAAACAAGCCAGAUUCUCAGAUAUCUCUCCCUUUUGCAAUUUUGAUUCUGAAAAAAAUAUUUAAAGGAAUCAAUUAGGUAUUCUAAAAGAAGGCAGUUUUCUAGGAGUUUCUUUAAUUAUGGGGGUUAGGCGUAGAGAGAUAAAAAUGGGAAGCAGUGCAUAGGUAGUAUGAAGUAGACAUUUUGGCAAAUAAAAAUUGCACCGUAUGACAUGUCACAUAGAAAUUGUUAAAGACUUUGAAUCCUAAAAUUUAGUUUACUAAAUGUAGCUUUUUAUAUUUUAUAUAUUUUACCAACAAAUAAUUAUGUUAAAUUUAAGCAUCUGAAUCCUGAAACGAUAAAGAACAGGAAAAUAAUGACUAAGCUAAUAACUACACCUUCGGAGUAUAAAAUGUUGUCAGUGGUUUUCAUUUUAGAAUUAAAAAUUUGAAUUUCCCUUUGCCUACAAGUGUUAAGUAACUUGCAACAGCAAAUUCCCCCAUUAACAACUUCAAAGCAUAGCAAGAAUCCACAAUGGUUUACAGGCCACUAAUUCUUUCACAGAUGAAAGCAUUCAAAUAUCUCUAUAAAAUUCAAUUCCUUAGAAUAUGUGUUUGUGAUUGACGAUAUACAUUUUUAAAUGUGGUGAUAACACAUGCUAUUAUUCAUGAUUUAAAAGUUGAAACUUUGAUUUAACAUGAUUUAAAAGAAGUAACUUGUGGUUCUUGGGUAAAACACACACUAAUAUGUUUUUUUCAAUAUAAAAGAGCAACCUAGACAUUCCUAUAAAACAUUUUUAUUCCAGGUGGUAAGCUAGGCUUAAAUUUUCACUUUUCAGCCAAGUGCGAUGGUUCACGUCUGUCAUUCCAGCACUUUGGAAGGCCGAGGCAGGCAAAUCACCAGAGGUCAGGAGUUCAAGACCAGCCUGGCAAACAUGGUGAAACCCCGUCUCCACUAAACAUACAAAAAGUAGCCAGGCAUGGUGGUGUGCACCUGUAAUCCUGGCUACUCAGGAGACUAAGGCAGGAGAAUCACUUGAACCUGGGAGGAGGAGGCUGCAGUGAGCCAAGAUUGUGCCAUUACACCCCAGUCUGGGCAACAGAGCAAGACUCUCCGUCUCAAAAAAAAAAAAAAAAAAUCAUUUUUCCCACAGCAGCACAUUUUUAAACAGCAAACCAUUUAGAAGUGAGUCAUCGUUUGUAUUAAAACCUUAUUUACAUGGUACUUAUAUUUUAAGUAGUUUGAUCAGAUACUGCCACAAUAUAGUUUAGAGAUAAGGCCUCUCAUGAAGGAAAACUUUACAACAUUUAAAAUCAGAGCAAAUGAAUUUCUUAAGUUCAUGAUAUGUACUCUCAAUGGAGAAUCGCUGUUGGGCAGUGGUUAAGGCCUCUGAUUUACUACUUAUCAGAAAAAUCCACAUACACACAAAACUCUGCUAAAAUUCCAAUGGCUUCUCUAGAUGAAUAAUCUUUGGCUGUGAGCAAAAAAGUUAACUACGUUUCACUUAAUACACAUACACACACACACACACACACAUACAUACAGACACACACACUAGGGUGUAUAUGCAGCAACUUCCUCAUCCUCAUUCCACAUGUAGCCCAUUCUUGGCUGGGUUAUGGCUUGUAAUCUCAGAACCACUGCCCCCAAAAUGACUGCUCAGUAGCACAAUCUCACUGUAAACUAUGGAACCCAAACUAUACAGCUAUCCUUGGCUUUUAACUCCAAGCUAUCUAGGCCUUGUGAUUUUAUGUGGGCUUCACAGCAGAACCUACCCAGCUUGUGGUUAUCGAUUUUCUGCUCACCACGUAAGCAGUAGCUCAGUAAUACUGUCCAGUUUUCAUGCAUAUCCAGACACACAGGUGAGAGUUCUGUUCCAAGAUCUCAUUUUGACCUCCUUCAAAGGUCUUCUCCAGCUCUCCAAAUUGAAUGUAUUCUUCAACCCGGGGCUUAAACUG
ensembl:lncRNA